AAGGAUGGGUAGUAGCGGAUUAUCCCAAGUUGUUCUCCCUGAAGGCUAAACACUUUAAUCAGCUGUUUUGCAGAUCCGCUCGCGAUUAUUGGAGCGUGUCUGUGAACAGCUAAGGCCGUGAGGGAGCCCCUGUGUGCAUCAAUCGUCAGGUAUGUGUCCUUUGUUGUUCUGAGGUCAAGGAACUGUAUGUCACCGGCCUGUGACGCACUCACCACCUGAAAAUAAAAAGAACAGAUAUUCUAACCCUUCAAAAUAGGCGCGGACAUGGAAACCAAACCAAGACAAAAAUCUUCAACUCAGAGCCGAACCAAGAUUUUUAUUUUUUAAACCGAACUGUAACAAUACUCUAUCAUAGAGUCUCAAAAAGGGUGUGAAAGCUGAGAGUUCAGAGAAAAGUUUUGGCUUCCAACCUUUGCGAGAUCAAGCCCAGGCUGAAAACUGAGUCCAACCACUCUUUCAACUUUCUGAUGAGGCCGAGUCGCACAGACAAGCCUUUAAUAGGAAAAAUUAUAUCAAAUGAUGUAUUCAGUUAUUUUUGUAUAAUGGAGGAGUUCUUGUGUAAAUUUGCAGUUCAGGAAUGAACUAUAAAGCAACUUACGGUUCAGGUGACCGAAUAUCAUAGAGUCUCAAAGAUCCAUCAGCGAAACCAGCAGCAAGUUGACCCCCGUGCACUUGAGAAGCCGACUACAAAGACAACAUUAAGUAAGCAAAAUUCCCACGUUUUAUACAUAUAGACUAUCUAGAUGUAUUGUUAGUUUCUUCCUGCUAAUUUUAAGUUUGAACAACCAAUGCCAUUUGCCAAGAAUCAACAAACCCACAUAAUGUCAGUUUUUAAAUAAUAAUCAAAGAUCAGCCAACAAACAAUCAACAGGCAACCAAUGAACUGUAAUUAAAUCCGUUUAAUCGAUCAUAACCGACCGGUAGCAAAUCAUGACACUCUAGAAUGUUUCUAUGUUAUAGAUAAGAAGGUCAUGUAGACUCACAAGUGCUGUAACUCCGCACUCUGACUCAGAGGGAAUAGAUCUGAGAAGCUGUUCUUUCUCCAGGUCCCAAAGUGCGACUGUUGACACCUCCCCAGAAGCAUACUGUUAAAUACCAGAAUUCAUAAAUAACAUAAACAGGUUUUCAUAACUUCAAGGCUUCAAUCAAAUGAAACACAGCAAAGCUUGAAAAAAGUAAUUACAAACCAGGUAGCCAGACUGUUGUUGCCAGUCCACAACAGCGUUCAAGUCACGUGCACUGGGCUUGUGGCCCUGAAUUGAAGAAAACCCCGUAACAAGCUUUUGUUUACCCUUCGUUGCAUAGUUUUUCCAUAUUCGGACCGAGCCAUCACCUACCCAUAUUUCCAGAAGAUCGUGUAAACAUAAGUACCAUUUCUCAGCAGCUAUAAUCAAUCAAUUCGCAAACAGUGGCAAGAGUUAUGAAUAUUACAUGAUGCAACAAGUAGAAAAGAGUCGUCAAGUUCAUUGAUGAGGCAGAGCUUUGAAAUUCCUUUGUCAGGAAAAUCAUGAUUGUCAAAGCCAUUGAGAAGAGUUGCUUCCUCAUAGUUCCAGACUCUGAGAGGAAAAUACAGUCAAGUACUUAGUGGCGUAGAUGCAUCUCAAUAAAAUAAACUAAAAAGUCACGAAGAAGAUCAAACUUUAAGAACAGUUUUAAAGGGAAGCUUUUCUAAAUGAUUAUGCUAGACAGAGAGAUCUAAUCAAUUAGAUCUACCUUCAAAAGCGAACACCUUUUGUUUUGAGGUAACUAGACAGUACUCUGGCUAACAGGUGAACCUGAACGCAAGAAACUGAUAUAAGAUCCAGAUUUUAGCUUACCUGAUCCGUGGAACGCAUGUCCCAGUUCGCCCUCCAAGUCAAAAUGCAGAAGCAUACAGAGGCAGGAAGCAAGAUCCUACAAUGAAUGUUCUUGCUAUAUGUAACUUCGAUAUGAAGUUCAUAUAUGCAUAUGUCGGUGUACCUGGUAGAGCACAUGAUACAAAGGUCUUGACUCAUUGUGCGAGGAAUGAGGCUUCUUUCCCACAUCCUCCUCCUGGAAAGUAUUAUCUAGUUGACUCCGGAUAUCCGACGAGGACAGGUUAUCUUGGUCCGCAUCGUAAUAUGCGAUAUCAUCUUGGUCAAUUUGCUACAGGAGGACCACCAGUUAGUGCACGAGAGUUGUUUAACCGAAAGCAUUCAGGUUUGCGAUCAGCGAUUGAGAGGACAUUUGGAGUAUGGAAAGCAAAAUGGAGGAUUUUGGAUCGUAAGCAUCCAAAGUAUGGUCUGGUCAAGUGGAUUAAGCUGGUGACAGCGACGAUGGCGCUACACAACUUCAUACGUGAUUCACAUCGGGAAGAUCAUGAUUUUGUACAGUGGCAAAGUGGUGAUGGUGGAGAAGGAGAAGAAGCUGAUAGUGACGGUGAUGAAGAAGAAGAAGAAGAUGAUGAUGGUGGUGGUGGUGGACAUAUUGUAUAUGAGCCGGCCGGUGAUAGAGCGAUGGAAGCUUUGCGUGAUAACAUCACAAAUGAAUAUGUUAGAGGUCGUUUACCGUUUUAAAUUUUUUUUUUGCUUAUAACUUUGAUGAUCAUUUAUAUGUGAUAUUUAUUUAAGACUUAAUGUUUUUUCUUUUAUAAUCAACUUAAUGUAUUAUUUAGCUUUUGUUUAGUGAUAAAUAUUUUGAAGUAUUAUUUUUGUUUUAACUUAGCUUAUAUUUUUAUAUUCGUAUAUUUCACCAAAAAUUUAUAUACCAAGUAACCAUAAUAUUUUAAUGGAUGUAAAUAUAUUUAAAUUACAUUUUUUUAUUUAAAAUACAAUUUUACAAAUGUUUAAAAAUAAAAUAUGAAGAAAUAAAAAUGGCCGCAGCAUCUAUCAAACAAAUAACCCAAAAAUCUGUUUCCAGCGUCUUCUAGACGAACAAUAUUCUGCGUCGGCGUCGGUGUCGGCGUCUACGAAACGAACAGCAACUAUUUUCAUUGACUUUGACGCCGACGCCGAAAACUGCGACAACCAAACGAACAUGACCUAUAUCUAUUAUACUUCUUAUCCAAGAAAGAACAAAGAUUUAUAAAGAGAAUAAAACAGACAGGAUGUCGGUUUUUGUAUUCCCUUCCACUCUUGUUCUCUCCUUUUCGCCAGUUAAAAGUCCUAACGAGAUGAAAACCAAUGGUUGGUUUGUUUAUGAAUUUCCAUUUUUUUUUUACUUUAGUAUCAAAACUUUCCUUUAUUUUUACUUUGAUAUACUGAAUUUAUUUUGAUUUUUACUGUAGUUGAAAAAAAAAUCAAAGUACUGUGUUUGCUUGGUUUCAAAGAUUUUGAUAAACCAAAAUGAUAAUUCAAAAUUUUUACAUAUUGAGCUACCAAAAACUUUUUUUUAAGUGGGUUACCAAAAUAUCUCUUAUUUAGAUCAUGAAUGUGACCAAGAAUGAGAGCACCCCAUUCCAUGGACGGAGUUGCUCUCGUUCCACAAUUGAUAACAAUCUGCUCCAUCUACCAUAUCAUGCAGGAUAAAGAAAGGAAGAUAUAGUUGCAUUUUGUGGUUAGACCUUUCAAUGAUCGCUUCAAAUAAAAUGGACAAAUGGCAUACACCAAACGUUGAUGCAAAGCGUGAAAAUGCGAAGUGACUUGCCUAUUUCCGAAUACCAACUUGAUCAAACAAACACACAACUUUCCAAUAUACUAAUCCUUGUCACGAAAGCAAACUUUUUUUCCACAAUUACUUUUAACAUUUUGAAACAAAUUGUGAAACGGAAACGACUUUUAAGAUUUUAAUAGAAAGGAAAGAAAGCACACACCCAAUGAAACAUGCUAAAUAAAAAAGCAAAUUACGAAACAGUGAAACUAUUUACAGAUACCAUUUACUUGAGUUGGCAUAGGAAGAGAUAGAGAACUUAUUUGGCGAAGCCUCCUCCUUCAUCAGUUGUUAACUUAGAUCUCCUUUCUAAACUUCAACGGAGGCUAACGAAUACUAUAAACCACUUUACCCCCGACCCGACCCGAACUGGACUUUGUUUUGCUUCUGUUUUUCUUUUUUUAUCACAAGACCAAUGCAACAUUUUGACUUACGGUGUGCGACUCACCUUGCUUGUGAGUUGUCAUGGGUGUAUACAGAGACGAAUGAGUCCGCAGCUCCAGCUGCAAGCAGAACCUGGUACGGAUGAAAAGUGAGGCAACUCACUGAGCCAAUCUUCUGUGCCAUGAAGGAUGGGUAGUAGCGGAUUAUCCCAAGUUGUUCUCCCUGAAGGCUAAACACUUUAAUCAGCUGUUUUGCAGAUCCGCUCGCGAUUAUUGGAGCGUGUCUGUGAACAGCUAAGGCCGUGAGGGAGCCCCUGUGUGCAUCAAUCGUCAGGUAUGUGUCCUUUGUUGUUCUGAGGUCAAGGAACUGUAUGUCACCGGCCUGUGACGCACUCACCACCUGAAAAUAAAAAGAACAGAUAUUCUAACCCUUCAAAAUAGGCGCGGACAUGGAAACCAAACCAAGACAAAAAUCUUCAACUCAGAGCCGAACCAAGAUUUUUAUUUUUUAAACCGAACUGUAACAAUACUCUAUCAUAGAGUCUCAAAAAGGGUGUGAAAGCUGAGAGUU
rnacentral:lncRNA from 1 species